rnacentral:rRNA from 1 species
UGAGUAACACGUGGAUAACCUACCUAUAAGACUGGGAUAACUUCGGGAAACCGGAGCUAAUACCGGAUAAUAUUUUGAACCGCAUGGUUCAAAAGUGAAAGAACGGUCUUGCUGUCACUUAUAGAUGGAUCCGCGCUGCAUUAGCUAGUUGGUAAAGUAACGGCUUACCAAGGCAACGAUGCAUAGCCGACCUGAGAGGGUGAUCGGCCACACUGGAACUGAGACACGGUCCAG